rnacentral:rRNA from 1 species
CGGACGGGUGAGUAAUGUCUGGGAAACUGCCUGAUGGAGGGGGAUAACUACUGGAAACGGUAGCUAAUACCGCAUAACGUCGCAAGACCAAAGGAGGGGGACCGUUAGGGCCUCUUGCCAUCGGAUGUGCCCAGAUGGGAUUAGCUAGUAGGUGGGGUAACGGCUCACCUAGGCGACGAUCCCUAGCUGGUCUGAGAGGAUGACCAGCCACACUGGAACUGAGACACGGUCCAG